CCAUUCUCCUUCCUCUCUCUCUCUCUCUAGGCCGGGUUGGUGUGCGGUUGGAGGGAGUUCGUCGCCGACGUCGCGCCGCGAGCCGUUCGAGUGCGCGUGUGACCGGGGCGCUGCGAGGAGGCCGGGCGAGGGCGUGUCUUCGACGUUACUGUCGCCGCGUCGUAGUUCCUCACUGUGGAGGUGAGUUGUUUUGGUCGCAUUUUUCCCCGAAUCCAUCUUCGAUUCCAAGUUGCCCACGCGUGCUGUUUUCACAGAUUUCCUGCGUCGACUGUUAGUAUUUCGGCUCGUUCUCCGCGUAGAAGCGUCGGAUCGCGACGAAACUUGGUUCAUUGGACUCUAGACUGCGAGAGGAUUCCACAGAGCCCUCAUUUGCAAUUUUUGGACAAGCUCGGCGACCGGUCUAGGUGGUCCCUGAGGAAUCCAGCAGCAUCGCGGGUGGCCGAGGCUGAGUUCGCUGCCAGGAAAUUGCACUUGAGAGCCGCAGGUACAGGCUGCUGCUUCCUCUGCUGAGCAGGAUCGUGGCAAGGGCGUCGCGAGCUAGAGCCCUACCAGACUGAUCGAGUUAGAGGCGUCCUCCCCUUACAGCAGCUAUGUAUCGUCGCCGGGGUCGACCGUCGUUGCGGGAGCGCGCCCAGUUGGCGCGGGAUCAUGCUGGACCUUCUGAGAGAUCUGAGCGGGUGGAGCAGUGUACUCAGCAGGAGCAGGGUGACAGACUGGGGGCGAGUGUACCCCCUGUUGUAGAGCCGAGUGCGCGACCAGAGGCUAGCGCACCCCUUGAUCUGAGUGCACAGUUGGCUGCCCUGACUGAGGUGACGAGACAGCAGGGGGAGCUAUUGCAGAGGUUGUG